UUGCUCUUUUGUUGACCUGUACCACUUUUCUGUGUGGCCUAGCGGCAGCGGGGAGGGACGUAGGUAAUUUCCAAAUUAGUUUCCUAGAUGAGUUUCGUGAUAUAAAACAAACCCAUAUGACUAUGUAUCAUUCUUUCCACACAUAUUAAUUUGUAUGUUGUGGUGCUUUCCUUCAUUGUGUUUAGGUACCAAGGCUGCAUUUGGAAUCCAAUGUUUUACUCACUUAGUGUGCAUGGACUCAUAUCAGUAUGUCGUUGAUUACUGCAACAAGGAUUGCAAAAUACUUGGUUACGAUGGCCAGAAAGGCUACUGCAAGAAGGAGAAUCGUGGCGUGUGUUGUUGUACCUAAAGUUAAAGACAUGUUAUAUUGUUAUUUUGUAGAAAAUCAUUGCAUGUAUUUGCUUUUUACGAUACUAAUUUAUAUGGAUUAAACGAGAAUUUCAAUAA
rnacentral:lncRNA from 1 species